rnacentral:rRNA from 1 species
UACGUAGGUGGCAAGCGUUGUCCGGAAUUAUUGGGCGUAAAGCGCGCGCAGGCGGUCCCUUAAGUCUGAUGUGAAAGCCCACGGCUCAACCGGUGGAGGGUCAUUGGAAACUGGGGGACUUGAGUACAGAAGAGGAAAGCGGAAUUCCACGUGUAGCGGUGAAAUGCGUAGAGAUGUGGAGGAACACCAGUGGCGAAGGCGGCUUUCUGGUCUGUAACUGACGUGAGGCGCGAAAGCGUGGGGAGCAAACGG